AGCGCAACAUCCCUUGGGCCGGCGGCCUGCUGUUGGUGCCGCGCGUGGCGCCCCUGUCCGAUUGUGCGAGAGUU
rnacentral:snoRNA from 1 species